rnacentral:snoRNA from 10 species
CUGGAGACGGAGCAAAAGGAGUCCUUGAAGUCAAGCCGACUCUGCUCUGAGCCUCCGAAAUGAAACAGGUAGAAAGAACAGGUCUUGUGUGCACAGUGAACGCAAGGCCUACGUAUCUACCAACACGG